rnacentral:ncRNA from 1 species
UCAAAUGCGAGGAAGAGGAAGAGUAGAUAUUUUUAACCUUACAGAGAGCCGGGGUCGAGGCUGGAAGCCCCGGUAGGGGGGAAAUAUCGAAGAACCGCCUUGGAGCAUCCCGGUGGAAAUAACACUAAACCGGGACGGACAGGCCGUUAUCCUGUGAUGAGCGCCUAAUAAUCCGCAGGGGUUAUUAGGAAACCUGGGUGGAACCGCGGGAAACAUACCUCUCGUCCCUGGA